rnacentral:rRNA from 1 species
GGCAACCCUGACGGAGCAACGCCGCGUGUGGGAGGACGGCCUUCGGGUUGUAAACCACUUUUCUCAGGGAAGAAGAACUGACGGUACCUGAGGAAUCAGCCUCGGCUAACUCCGUGCCAGCAGCCGCGGUAAUACGGAGGAGGCAAGCGUUAUCCGGAAUUAUUGGGCGUAAAGCGUCCGCAGGUGGCGAUUCAAGUCUGCUGUCAAAGCCAGGAGCUCAACUCCUGUCCGGCAGUGGAAACUGACCCACUCGAGGGUGGUAGGGGUAGAGGGAAUUCCCAGUGUAGCGGUGAAAUGCGUAGAUAUCGGGAAGAACACCAGUGGCGAAGGCGCUCUACUGGGCCGCGACUGACGCUGAGGGACGAAAGCUAGGGGAGCG